rnacentral:rRNA from 1 species
GAUGAACGCUAGCGGCAGGCCUAAUACAUGCAAGUCGGACGGGAUUCGGGACUUCGGUCCCGAUGAGAGUGGCGCACGGGAGCGUAACGCGUGAGCAACCUGCCCAUAUCAGGGGGAUAGCCCGGAGAAAUCCGGAUUAACACCGCAUAACACAGCAGUCUGGCAUCAGACCACUGUUAAAAUAUUUAUAGGAUAUGGAU